rnacentral:rRNA from 1 species
AGAGUUUGAUUCUGGCUCAGAACGAACGCUGGCGGCGUGGAUAAGACAUGCAAGUCGAACGGGAGAAUUGCUAGCUUGCUAAUAAUUCUCUAGUGGCGCACGGGUGAGUAACACGUGAGUAACCUGCCUCUUAGUGGGGGAUAGCCCUGGGAAACCGGGAUUAAUACCGCAUACGAUUGAAAGAUCAAAGCAGCAAUGCGCUAGGAGAUGGGCUCGCGGCCUAUUAGUUAGUUGGUGAGGUAACGGCUCACCAAGGCGAUGACGGGUAGCCGGUCUGAGAGGAUGUCCGGCCACACUGGAACUGAGACACGGUCCAGACACCUACGGGUGGCAGCAGUCGAGAAUCAUUCACAAUGGGGGCAACCCUGAUGGUGCGACGCCGCGUGGGGGAAUGAAGGUCUUCGGAUUGUAAACCCCUGUCAUGUGGGAGCAAAUUAAAAAGAUAGUACCACAAGAGGAAGAGACGGCUAACUCUGUGCCAGCAGCCGCGGUAAUACAGAGGUCUCAAGCGUUGUUCGGAAUCACUGGGCGUAAAGCGUGCGUAGGCUGUUUCGUAAGUCGUGUGUGAAAGGCAGGGGCUCAACCCCUGGAUUGCACAUGAUACUGCGAGACUAGAGUAAUGGAGGGGGAACCGGAAUUCUCGGUGUAGCAGUGAAAUGCGUAGAUAUCGAGAGGAACACUCGUGGCGAAGGCGGGUUCCUGGACAUUAACUGACGCUGAGGCACGAAGGCCAGGGGAGCGAAAGGGAUUAGAUACCCCUGUAGUCCUGGCAGUAAACGGUGCACGCUUGGUGUGCGGGGAAUCGACCCCCUGCGUGCCGGAGCUAACGCGUUAAGCGUGCCGCCUGGGGAGUACGGUCGCAAGAUUAAAACUCAAAGAAAUUGACGGGGACCCGCACAAGCGGUGGAGUAUGUGGUUUAAUUCGAUGCAACGCGAAGAACCUUACCUGGGCUUGACAUGUAAUGAACAACAUGUGAAAGCAUGCGACUCUUCGGAGGCGUUACACAGGUGCUGCAUGGCCGUCGUCAGCUCGUGUCGUGAGAUGUUUGGUUAAGUCCAGCAACGAGCGCAACCCCUGUUGCCAGUUACCAGCACGUCAAGGUGGGGACUCUGGCGAGACUGCCCAGAUCAACUGGGAGGAAGGUGGGGACGACGUCAGGUCAGUAUGGCCCUUAUGCCCAGGGCUGCACACGUACUACAAUGCCCAGUACAGAGGGGGCCGAAGCCGCGAGGCGGAGGAAAUCCUGAAAACUGGGCCCAGUUCGGACUGUAGGCUGCAACCCGCCUACACGAAGCCGGAAUCGCUAGUAAUGGCGCAUCAGCUACGGCGCCGUGAAUACGUUCCCGGGUCUUGUACACACCGCCCGUCACAUCAUGGAAGCCGGUCGCACCCGAAGUAUCUGAAGCCAACCGCAAGGAGGCAGGGUCCUAAGGUGAGACUGGUAACUGGGAUGAAGUCGUAACAAGGUAGCCGUAGGGGAACCUGCGG